UACGUAGGGGGCGAGCGUUGUCCGGAUUUAUUGGGCGUAAAGAGCUCGUAGGCGGCUUGGCAAGUCGGAUGUGAAACCCCCAGGCUUAACCUGGGGACGCCACUCGAAACUGCCAUGGCUAGAGUCCGGUAGGGGAUCACGGAAUUCCUGGUGUAGCGGUGAAAUGCGCAGAUAUCAGGAGGAACACCAGUGGCGAAGGCGGUGAUCUGGGCCGGAACUGACGCUGAGGAGCGAAAGCGUGGGGAGCGAACAGG
rnacentral:rRNA from 1 species